AGGAUGGCGGUUGUGUGACAGUUGACAUUUGAGGACGUGGCUGUGGAGUUUACACAGGAUGAGCGGCAGUGCCUGACCCUGACUCAGCGGGCUCUGUACAGG